AGGUUCAAGUGAAGAGGCUGUUCCAAGAAAGACUCCUGAGAACCAUCACUCAGACAGUCUGCUCAGAGGAGGAAGAGGAUGGGCAGGACUGACGCUGACACCUAACUUUGCGAAGGCAGGGUGCAGGACCCUCGGUGUGCUCGAACUCACCUCUUUGGUGACCUAGAAUAUGCAACACCGAGAUGACCCUGAUGUCAACGAUGGACUUCAAAACUAACAGUGGACCAGUAUUUGUGUAUCACGCGUGUAUACUCAGUGAUUCAAGACUUUAACAAGCGGGCACACGGGGGAAGGGAGGCAGACAAAGGGUCACGGGGCAGGCUGCAUUUUCUGCUCCAUUUUUCUGUAAACCUGACAUUGCUCAAAAAAAA